CGCGUAGGCGGCUUGACAAGUCGGAGGUGAAAUCCCUCGGCUCAACCGGGGAACUGCCUCCGAAACUGUCGAGCUUGAGUCCCGGAGAGGGUGGCGGAAUUCCGAGUGUAGCGGUGAAAUGCGUAGAUACUCGGAGGAACACCGGUGGCGAAGGCGGCCACCUGGACGGGUACUGACGCUGAGGCGCGAAAGCUAGGGGAGCAAACA
rnacentral:rRNA from 1 species